AGCGUAGACGGCACGGCAAGCCAGAUGUGAAAGCCCGGGGCUCAACCCCGGGACUGCAUUUGGAACUGCUGAGCUAGAGUGUCGGAGAGGCAAGUGGAAUUCCUAGUGUAGCGGUGAAAUGCGUAGAUAUUAGGAGGAACACCAGUGGCGAAGGCGGCUUGCUGGACGAUGACUGACGUUGAGGCUCGAAAGGCUGGGGAGCAAACA
rnacentral:rRNA from 1 species